AUGUUCAGGCGUCUUACACUGUGGACAAUAUCAGAACAUACAGAAGAUUCCUCUAGUGGGCAACUGUUUUCAGGCUCUGUGCCUGUCUUCGAACAAAGAAGUCUGACUCAUUACCCGAGCGACCAGACGACUCUUUCAUCUGAAUCAUCAGGAACAUAUUCUCAACUGCGCUUUAAGACUGAAACAGAAAAUGUGGAAAAUGUAGAGAAAAACAGAGAAGAGGAAAUCAAGAAAAAGAGGAGUAGAAUAUAUUCAUUUUUCUGGUGUUUCUUAUGUCUAAGUAGAAAACACAAAAAAGUACAAAAAGAAAAGCCAGUUUUUUCGGGUACUGACAGGAAUAAAUCUAAAGAAGAUGAUUCAGGAUCCCCAGAAUCCAGAGGUUUCAAUGUUUUAUCAUGUAUUAAACGGAGGAAAAAUUCCAAGAAAUAA
rnacentral:lncRNA from 1 species